rnacentral:rRNA from 1 species
GACGAACGCUGGCGGCGUGCCUAAUACAUGCAAGUAGAACGCUGAAGGUGGAGCUUGCUUCUCUGGAUGAGUUGCGAACGGGUGAGUAACGCGUAGGUAACCUGCCUUGUAGCGAGGGAUAACUAUUGGAAACGAUAGCUAAUACCGCAUAAGAGUAGAUGUUGCAUGACAUUUGCUUAAAAGGUGCAAUUGCAUCACUACCAGAUGGACCUGCGUUGCAUUAGCUAGUUGGUGGGGUAACGGCUUACCAAGGCGACGAUACAUAGCCGACCUGAGAGGGUGAGAGGCCACCCUGGGAAUUAGGCACGGCCCACAAGACUGGGAGUGGCAGCAGGAGCGAAACUUCGGCGAUGGCUGGAAGUCUGAACGUGCAACGCCGCGUGAGGGAAGAAGGCUUUCGGGACGUGUAACUCGGUUGUAUGAGAGGAAAGAGUGUGAGAGUGGAAAGUUCACACAGUGACGGUAUCUUACCAGGAAGGGACGGCUAACUACGUG